rnacentral:rRNA from 1 species
GUGAGGAAUAUUGGUCAAUGGGCGAGAGCCUGAACCAGCCAAGUCGCGUGAAGGAAGAAGGAUCUAUGGUUCGUAAACUUCUUUUGCAGGGGAAUAAAGUGCAGGACGUGUCCUGUUUUGUAUGUACCCUGAGAAUAAGGAUCGGCUAACUCCGUGCCAGCAGCCGCGGUAAUACGGAGGAUCCGAGCGUUAUCCGGAGUUAUUGGGUUUAAAGGGUGCGUAGGUGGUUUGAUAAGUCAGCGGUGAAAGUUUGCAGCUUAACUGUAAAAAUGCCGUUGAAACUGUCGGACUUGAGUGUAAAUGAGGUAGGCGGAAUGCGUGGUGUAGCGGUGAAAUGCAUAGAUAUCACGCAGAACUCAGAUUGCGAAGGCAGCUUACUAAGCUACAACUGACACUGAAGCACGAAAGCGUGGGGAUCAAACAGGAUUAGAUACCCGGGUAGUCC